UACGGAGGUGGCAAGCGUUGCUCGGAAUCACUGGGCGUAAAGGGCGCGUAGGCGGGGAGGUAAGUCGGGUGUGAAAUCCCUCGGCCCAACCGAGGAACUGCGCCCGAGACUGCUUCUCUUGAGUCCCGGAGAGGAAGGUGGAAUUCCCGGUGUAGCGGUGAAAUGUGUAGAGAUCGGGAGGAACACCGGUGGCGAAGGCGGUCUUCUGGACGGUGACUGACGCUGAGGCGCGAAAGCGUGGGGAGCAAACGGG
rnacentral:rRNA from 1 species